ACCGGAAAGGACGGACCGAUGGUGAACCAGUUGCAGUGCCAACUGCACGGCUGGGAAGCCAAGUCCGGGAGUGAUAAACGCUGAAAGCAUCUAAGCGUGAAGCACGCCUCAAGAUAAGAUUUCCCAUACCGUAAAGGUAGUAAGACCCCUCGAAGAAGACGAGGUAGAUAGGCUUAAGGUGUAAGAGCAGAAAUGCUUUAAGCUGGUAAGUACUAAUAGGUCGAGGCCUUGACCUC
rnacentral:ncRNA from 1 species